AUUGAACGCUGGCGGCAUGCCUUACACAUGCAAGUCGAACGGUAACAGGUUAAGCUGACGAGUGGCGAACGGGUGAGUAAUAUAUCGGAACGUGCCCAGUCGUGGGGGAUAACGUAGCGAAAGCUACGCUAAUACCGCAUACGAUCUACGGAUGAAAGCGGGGGAUCGCAAGACCUCGCGCGAUUGGAGCGGCCGAUAUCAGAUUAGGUUGUUGGUGAGGUAAAAGCUCACCAAGCCUGCGAUCUGUAGCUGGUCUGAGAGGACGACCAGCCACACUGGAACUGAGACACGGUCCAGACUCCUACGGGAGGCAGCAGUGGGGAAUUUUGGACAAUGGACGCAAGUCUGAUCCAGCAAUGCCGCGUGCAGGACGAAGGCCUUCGGGUUGUAAACUGCUUUUGUACGGAACGAAACGGUGAGCUCUAAUACAGUUUGCUAAUGACGGUACCGUAAGAAUAAGCACCGGCUAACUACGUGCCAGCCGCCGCCGUAAUAC
rnacentral:rRNA from 1 species